UCGGGUGUAGCUCAGCGGCAGAGCAGCGGUCUCCAAAACCGUCAGUCGUGGGUUCGAGUCCCACCACCCGGG
rnacentral:tRNA from 1 species